UACGGGGGGGGCAAGCGUUGUUCGGAAUUACUGGGCGUAAAGGGCUCGUAGGCGGCCAACUAAGUCAGACGUGAAAUCCCUCGGCUUAACCGGGGAACUGCAUCUGAUACUGGAUGGCUUGAGUUCGGGAGAGGGAUGUGGAAUUCCAGGUGUAGCGGUGAAAUGCGCAGAUAUCAGGAAGAACACCGGUGGCGAAGGCGGCUCUCUGGGCCUUACCUGACGCUGAGGAGCGAAAGCGUGGGUAGCGAACAGG
rnacentral:rRNA from 1 species